GGCGAAAUGAACCAAGAAAUAAUUUCUUAUGAUGAAGGAUGCUUCCCCAAUGAUGAAAUGAUGUUAAUCCCAGUAAUUUGGAUUUUUUGCACUUGGUAGGCCAUGAGAAUGAGCAGAGUGCCCUCUUUGCUACGAUGGUUUUGCAGUUCUGCUACAAAGAGAAUUAUUACUGCAAAAGACCAUUCUUCAGUUCAGCUUAACAUUGGUCAUAUUGAUGACAGUGGUAUCUAUACUAGACAUUUAUCCACUUUUUCCCUUAGUGGUUUCGUUCGUUGCCCAGCCUAAUCCCUCACG